rnacentral:tRNA from 1 species
GAUGGUAUAGCUCAAUUGGUAGAGUGCCUGCUUAGCAUACAGGAGGUCCUGGGUUCAAUCCCCAGUACCUCUA